AAAAAUUUAGUAAUAAAAAACAUUACAGUUAAUUCAUUUCAGGAGACCGAUCAAUGAAUUUCAUAUCACUAAAUGAAUGAAAUUGAGUGACAACUAAGAAAUAGUGGUACAAUAGUAGGGCUUUUUCAUUCUUUCCCGUCAAAUACACACCCACAAUGAGUUUGUCUCUUAUUCAAGGCCAUUCUUUUACCAAAGACGAACCCCAACCUCACAAAUGUGACCUAUUCUGGCGAUGAGGUCGUCGUCGAUGACAGUGCCUUUGUUAGCCACCCUUCUCUAGGUGAUAGAUCCAUCUUAGGAGAAAGGUGUAGGAACUUUAAGAAGAGGGUGAUGGGGACAAUUU
rnacentral:lncRNA from 1 species